AACAUCGCGCACCUGCGGGAACCUGCGGAAGGAUCAUUACAGAGUUGCAAAACUCCCUAAACCAUUGUGAACGUUACCUAAACCGUUGCUUCGGCGGGCGGCGCGCCCUCGCGCGCGCCCCUGGGCCCCACCGCGGGCGCCCGCCGGAGGUCACCAAACUCUUGAUAUUAAUUGGCCUCUCUGAGUCUUCUGUACUGAAUAAGUCAAAACUUUUAACAAUGGAUCUCAGAUCGGAAGAGC
rnacentral:misc_RNA from 1 species